AAUGCGUUCUGGCCCCACUUUCUUUUCAUUCGAAAUUAAGAGAAAUUCCUCCCAUGUGAUAAACUCCUAUGUUUGCGUCUGUGAAAUGUAAGAGGGCACCCAGGGGAAAGGGAGGUACGGAAAGCAGCAUGGAGUAGUGGUUUGAGUGUUGGAUUAAGGGGCUGAGAAACCGGGAUUCAAAUCCCUGCUCAGCCAUGUAACCCCUGCCUCAAUCCGCAGCAAAAGGGGGGGAUAUAUAAAUUAUUAUUAUUAUUAUUAUUAUUAUUAUUAUUGAAACACUCUGGGCAAGUCACACUCUCUCAGCCUCAAAGAGGCAAGGAAACCCCAUGAUAAGUAUGCCUUAGGGUCACCAUAAGUCCUGAAGCCAGAGGCCUUAUAAGCCAAAGACUAUCAGGGUAUUGAAGGUGUGCUUUUGUGCCUUGUUUUAAAUGCUUUAAUGUUUUUAAGGUGCCAAAAGGUCAUUAAGAAGUGGGGCACACAAGCUAUCGGAAGAUGAAGCCUUUUGUCUUGGUCUGAGACUGUUGGAAAGGACAAGUUUGCAGCAAUUGAAGUAAGCUGAGGAGAAAGUGAGUGGAAGGAAGAGAAACUGGGACAACGGAGGAUUAUUUGGGACUGUCCCUGCCGCAUUGGGACCAAUUGAAGAAUCCAAAGCGGCUGCAUUCAAGGCACAACACUAUUGCAUAUGAAGCUGAGAAACUCCUUCAGAAGAACGUCUAAAGAU